UUCGCGCCGGCGCCCCUAGUGGAGUUGCCGGCGCGAGCUCUGACGAAACCCGAAGGCGAAAAGAAAUUGAAGCCGAGYCCAGCGCUCGACCUGCGCGAGGGAAGAUGGCGACGGAUCCGGCGGCCGCCGUCACGGCGGCAGAGCGGAUCGGCCCGCAUUCCCGGGGUGCCUCAAUCGCCGGCGCCGCUUGCGGCGCCCGACGAGAGGUGCGCCUAGAGCACACACGCUAGGACCCGAAAGAUGGUGAACUAUGCCUGGCCAGGACGAAGUCAGGGGAAACCCUGAUGGAGGUCCGAAACGAUUCUGACGUGCAAAUCGAUCGUCUGAGCUGGGUAUAGGGGCGAAAGACUAAUCGAACUAUCUAGUAGCUGGUUCCCUCCGAAGUUUCCCUCAGGAUAGCUGGUGCUCGGAGGCAAGGAAGAGUCUCUUCCGGUAAAGCGAAUGAUUAGAGGCCUUGGGGCCGAAACGACCUCAACCUAUUCUCAAACUUUAAAUGGGUGAGAUCCCCGGCUUGCUYGAGAUGUC
rnacentral:rRNA from 1 species